CCUCUAUCAGACAAUGAAUUAAUCAACUAUAUACUAGCUGAUCUUAGGUUUGAAUAUGAUCCUCUCAUCACUUCUCUUACUACAAGGUUUGACCCCAUGUCUCUUCAAAAAGUAAAUGGUCACCUUCUUACAUAUGAGC